rnacentral:snRNA from 1 species
AUCAUUUCACAGUGGCAAUAUUGUAGCUUAUGAGGUUUUUUCCGAGGCACAAUUAUUGCUUGUUGAAAAACUUUACCCAUUCCCACCAUGACGACUUGAAAUAUAGUCAGCAACGGCAAUUUUUGAUGGUCUUUAAGGAGA